ACGUGGGCGGUCCGCCUCCGAUGACGUCGCGAGAAGUCCACUGAACCUUAUCAUUUAGAGGAAGGAGAAGUCGUAACAAGGUUUCCGUAGGUGAACCUGCGGAAGGAUCAUUG
rnacentral:rRNA from 1 species